rnacentral:rRNA from 1 species
AGCAGCCGCGGUAAUUCCAGCUCCAAUAGCGUAUAUUAAAGUUGUUGCAGUUAAAAAGCUCGUAGUUGAAUUUCGGGAUCAAUAUAUCGGUCGUGCCAUUGGUACGUACUGGUAUCAUUGGUUUCUCCUUUCUGACGAACCAUGAUGUCAUUAAUUUGGUGUUAUGGGAAGUUAGGACUGUUACUUUGAAAAAUUAGAGUGUUUAAAGCAGGCUUUAGCUUGAAUACAUUAGCAUGGAAUAAUGAAAUAGGACGUUCGAACCUAUUUUGUUGGUCUCUAGGAUCAACGUAAUGAUUAAUAGGGAUAGUUGGGGGCAUUAGUAUUCAAUUGUCAGAGGUGAAAUUCUUGGAUUUAUUGAGGACUAACUACUGCGAAAGCAUUUGCCAAGGAUGUUUUCAUUAAUCAAGAACGAAAGUUAGGGAAUCGAAGACGAUCAGAUACCGUCGUAGUCUUAACCAUAAACUAUGCCGACUAGGGAUCGGAUGAUGUUAAUUUUUAAUGUACUCAUUCGGCGCCUUAA